rnacentral:rRNA from 1 species
CCUACGGGGUGCAGCAGUGAGGAAUAUUGGUCAAUGGACGGAAGUCUGAACCAGCCAUGCCGCGUGCAGGAAGACGGCUCUAUGAGUUGUAAACUGCUUUUGUACAAGGGUAAACCUGAAUACGUGUAUUCAGCUGAAAGUACUGUACGAAUAAGGAUCGGCUAACUCCGUGCCAGCAGCCGCGGUAAUACGGAGGAUCCAAGCGUUAUCCGGAUUUAUUGGGUUUAAAGGGUGCGUAGGCGGGUUGAUAAGUUAGAGGGGAAAUGUCCGAGCUUAACUCGGGAACUGCCUUUAAUACUAUUGAUCUAGAGAUUAGAUGCGGUAGGCGGAAUGUAUGGUGUAGCGGUGAAAUGCUUAGAGAUCAUACAGAACACCGAUUGCGAAGGCAGCUUACCAAUCUAUAUCUGACGUUGAGGCACGAAAGCGUGGGGAGCAAACAGGAUUAGAUACCCUGGUAGUC